CCUACUUCCCCUAAUAGUUUCCCAGUAUUUCUAUUAUCAGUUCCAGAGUCCUUGUUGUAUGUCCCAUUCCCUUCCCCAUGCCUUGUUUUUUUCUGCAUGUAAUCCUGGCAUAUCUCAGUUAUAAUAGGGAUCUGACCAAACAAUACCUCUAAUCUAUUAUCAAUGAUUAGAGCAUGUACAGAUUUCUUUUGGAAGAUCAGGUUGGCAUCAGCUUUGAUAUUCUUUAAGAUGUUAGUCACUGCCACAAACACAACAUAGACUUGGGGUAUGAUUUGCCAGAGGUAAUUCACAUCUAAAUAAUUCAUUGGUGUCUGUGUCUAUCCCAUAGUCAUAUUGGUUAAUGUCCCCAGAACAUUAUCUAUCAUCCCUGCCACUGUUUUAUAAAUUAUACAGUAUCCCCAAUAAAUUGUAAUUAUUCCUACCCCAGCAGACUAUAGUAUUAGUUGGAACAUGUUUCCCAUUAGAUCUUUUCUAGGCUCUAACUGCUGGGAGUUAACAGUUAGAAAAUGGUUGUUCCCCCAAGCUUUGCUUCUAACCAGGAUCUAAGAUGUCUCGAUCUUAUAAGCUGACAGCCCUGAUACAGCCUCCCUUUUACAAUGGUUUCACUUCCUUAGUUUUCCAACUGACCAGAGUGGCAGUUGGUGACUAGCUUGUACUCCCCCCACCAGGAAUCUAGAUGUUUUUGAUCCUAUGUGGAAGCCCCUAGGCAGAGCUAGUGACAAUGGCUGCUAGCCUCUGGAGUUACAACUGAUAGUUGGUGAUAGUUGUCAUCCAGCCCAGUGGAAAGACAAACGCAGUAGAUGAUCUUGGCAUCCUCAAAAUCUAAUCAAGAUCUAAGUGCUGCUUCUGCAGCCUUCAUGGCUAUUGAAAUAAAUUAUUAUCUUUUACCUCUUCUGAUGGCAAGUUUGAGGCCAGCUGGUUACCUCAGGCUGUAUAGCCUACUGACUGAGAUGGUUUACCAGAAUAUGACUUCUGUGCAUACUACAGCUUUCUGGAGUCACAGAGGUCCAGUAUGGGCUUCCCACAGACAGUAAGAGCGAGAGCCAGUAUUGAAUUUUGAAUUGAGAGCCUUUGAUGCCAAAUCCAGCACUUUCCCUUCUGGGCCAUGUUGCUUGCCUUCCCCAAGGACAAGUAGAAAGCCCUGAGAGAGCCCAUUCCUUCUAUGCAAAAAGAUGGCAAUACUUGGGCUACCUAUGUCACAGGGCUGUGAGGAAAGUUCUGGCGAAGAUAACCCUUUAUAAGUGAGCUAAGAUUAGCCAUGCUCCAUUUUUGAAUUUUAAUUUCAGAAUUCUUUUUUAUAUCUGUCAUUAUUACAAUUUAUUAAGUUUAGUUUCUAUGCAGUAAACCUUUUUCAUUUUGAGUUUUCAAUAAGGAAUGUAUACAGUAGGUGACAUUUAUAGUAGAGUGCCUCAAAGUCUACAAAGUACUUUCAUGUAAUUUAAUCCUCAUUAUACCUCUGUGAAUUAAAGAAUUGUAUUAUUUGAACUGAGACUUGGAGAUGUUAAAUGAUUUGUUCAAAGUCCCAAUUAGGAAGUAUCUGAUUCAUGGUUUAAUUACAGAUGCUCCCAACGCCAAGGCCAGUACCACAGCCACAAUACUACAUUGGCUUUAAUCAGCAGUGUAGGCCCUCAACUUCUUCCAACUCUUUGAUUUUCUUGAGAAUAUUUUGCAGACAAAAUAAGCCAAGACAAGGAAGGAUGGACGUGGGGCGUCCUUGGAAGCCAGUUGGUUUACCCAAUGAUGGUUUUGUGAAGUGAACAGAAGAGGAAAUCAGAAGAUUCAAGUUUGAAUUAAUCCAUGUGCCUUCUUUGUCCUUAGGCAAUUAUAUUACUUUCCUUCUCUGGGCUUUAGUUUAUUAUCUCUAAAAUGACUGGGUCAGACUAAUUGAUCUCUAAGAACUUUCCUAAUUCUGAAUCCAAUGAUCUUAGUGUGAUAGGGGCAAUCCUGUGAAACAUGUGCUCGUGAGAAUGCUUACACACAUUGUCCUCAUACUGAGGGAGGAGGAUUUUGUGAUCAUAAAAUGAUUCCUCAUUGCCCCCCCCCCAUUUACCCAUCCUUUGUGGUUUUUCCUAAGGGGACCAGUCACUGAACAUCAUGGGGGCAGACUUUUGUUGAGUGACAUCCACAUUUGAUAUGUCUAGAUAGACUUCUCUCCUUUCUUAGGAAGACACAGUGCCACCAGGAGGGGAAAGGAAGGGAGGGAGAUACGUCCGAUCAUAUAACUUAGAAAAAUUUGUGUGGAAAUUUGUGAUUUCAAGUAAUUGAGAAGAAAAAUUUAAAAAAUUAAUUCUGAAAAAAUAAACAAAUGGUUGUUUGUUUUAAUCUGGUGACU
ensembl:lncRNA